rnacentral:rRNA from 1 species
GAUGAACGCUGGCGGCGUGCCUAAUACAUGCAAGUCGAGCGAACGGACGAGAAGCUUGCUUCUCUGAUGUUAGCGGCGGACGGGUGAGUAACACGUGGAUAACCUACCUAUAAGACUGGGAUAACUUCGGGGAACCGGAGCUAAUACCGGAUGAUAUUUUGAACCGCAUGGUUCAAAAGUGAAAGACGGUCUUGCUGUCACUUAUAGAUGGAUCCGCGCUGCAUUAGCUAGUUGGUAAGGUAACGGCUUACCAAGGCAACGAUGCAUAGCCGACCUGAGAGGGUGAUCGGCCACACUGGAACUGAGACACGGUCCAGACUCCUACGGGAGGCAGCAGUAGGGAAUCUUCCGCAAUGGGCGAAAGCCUGACGGAGCAACGCCGCGUGAGUGAUGAAGGUCUUCGGAUCGUAAAACUCUGUUAUUAGGGAGGAACAUAUGUGUAAGUAACUGUGCACAUCUUGACGGUACCUAAUCAGAAAGCCACGGCUAACUACGUG